rnacentral:rRNA from 1 species
GAUGAACGCUGGCGGCGUGCUUAACACAUGCAAGUCGAGCGAGUGAGUUCUUCGGAACGAUCUAGCGGCGUACGGGUGAGUAACACGUGGGCAACCCGCCUCAUAGAGGGGAAUAGCCUCCCGAAAGGGCGAUUAAUACCGCAUAACCUCGUUGAACGGCAUCCUUCGAUGAUCAAAGGAGCCAUCCGCGAUGAGAUGGGUCUGGGGCGCAUUAGGUAGUUGGGGAGGUAACGGCUAACCAAGGCGACGAUGCGAAGCCGACCUGAGAGGGUGAUCGGCGACAUUGGGACUGAGACACGGCCCAGACUCCUACGGGAGGCAGCAGUGGGGAAUAUUGCACAAUGGGGGAAACCCUGAUGCAGCAACGCCGCGUGAGUGAUGACGGCCUUCGGGUUGUAAAGCUCUGUCUUUGGGGACGAUAAUGACGGUACCCAAGGAGGAAGUCACGGCUAACUACGUGCCAGCCGCCGCCGUAA